CCUGGACGCACUUCCGCGGCCGCGGAGGCAGACGCCGCGAGAGGCUGCUCCGAGUGGGCGAGCGGGAUGCUCGGGCCGUGAGGGGUCGGCCCAGAUUUUCUCUUCUUUGUGUGCUGCUGUUUCAUCUAAGCUUGAUAAGCUGAUUUCAGAGGAUCAGGUACACUAAAGGGUAAGUGUGUCCUGGGCUUGUAGAAUGUUUCCCUUUCUUCUGCUUUCUCGGUCAGGAGCAGUGCUUUUCUUCUUCAGCAAAAUAACAGCAUAAAACCCUUGUGGGACAGUGACUGAUGAUUACGGUUUCCAAGAAAACCCAAAUUACAGAUAGAAGGGAUGGCAGGUAUUAACAGCAAGAAUUAAUUUAGUGGCUAUGAGACAUACAUUCUUUUGAAGUGAUUCCUUGGAAUUGUCCCUUAAAAAAAAUUAUAAUGGGUUUGUGAGUUCCUAAAGCUCUUAGCCACUGUUUCUGCAUCAGCCUUCUUUGAACUCUCUUCAAAGCCAGAGGAAACAUCCUUUAAAAUACCGUUUGUUCAAAAUGAUAUCAUUGAUAGCAUUUGUGUACCAAAUGUUCUUCCCUGAAAGUCAUUCUGGCACAGGUGACAGAUGUGAAGUGGCUGUUCUGGAACAGAGCAUUUGAUUUGGUCAGGAACCACUCCAGAACUAAAAUUCUGUCAUCAUUGCUAGAUAAGUGUUUCUGGUUUUGUUUUUCAUCUUUCAAAAGUAGAGAGACCUUUGGCCACUAAGGAGCAGAAAGCAAGCACUCAAUCUAGAAACAGCCUGAGUGCUUGUGAGAACAGGAUGUGGUGACUUAUCCCAAAUGAAAUGAGUGGAACUUACACCAAAGCACAUUUAUAAUUUCCUCCGUAUCCCAGCUAGAUACGUAUGGACAGCUGUGUAUUUAUUCCGUCUCAGCAAGUUCCUCCUGUGUGCCAGUAGUAAACACAAUGCACACAGCAAGGAUCUCUGGCCCGAGAUGAGUCUGUUGGGAAAGAACAGUAUGUAAACAAGGAAGUGUAAGCAUCCGCACUGCUACCAAAGAAAACGUAAAACAGUGCUGUUCACGUCAUGCAGCCAAGGAUGGGGGAAGGCUGUGACCAGAAAGAAGAGGGUUAGGUGGGUCUCUCCGGCAAGUGACCAGAUACCAGUUAAACGAAGAACAAGGUGGGACCCCGAAAGCUGUUAGAGGGUUGGAGAGCUGGCUUAGCGAUUUGGAGAACGUGCUGCUCCUGCAGAGGGCCUGGCUUGGUUCCCAGCACCCACGUGCCAGCUCCCAAGCAUCUGUAACUGCAGUUUCAGAGGAUCCAACACUCUUCUGGCCUUCUCGGGCACGGUGUGCAUGUGGGCAUAGACAUACGUGCAGGCACAGCAUUCAUACACAUACACUAAAAACAAACCUUAGAAACGAGUUUGGAAGAUCACCGUGUGGCCAAGCUCUUAGUUAAACUAAAGUGGAGAAUUUGGAAAGGUAAGCGGAAAUGGUUACACGGACAGUGAGGUGUGCAAGGUGAGGGUGGUUACACGGACAGUGAGGUGUGCAAGGUGAGGGUGAUUACACACAGUGAGGUGUGCAAGGUGAGAGUGAUUACACGGACAGUGAGGUGUGCAAGGUGAGGGUGGUUACACGGACAGUGAGGUGUGCAAGGUGAGAGUGAUUACACAGUGAGGUGUGCAAGGUGAGAGUGAUUACACAGUGAGGUGUGCAAGGUGAGAGUGAUUACACAGUGAGGUGUGCAAGGUGAGAGUGGUUACACGGACAGUGAGGUGUGCAAGGUGAGGGUGAUUACACGGACAGUGAGGUGUGCAAGGUGAGAGUGAUUACACAGUGAGGUGUGCAAGGUGAGGGUGAUUACACGGACAGUGAGGUGUGCAAGGUGAGAGUGAUUACACAGACAGUGAGGUGUGCAAGGUGAGAGUGAUUACACAGACAGUGAGGUGUGCAAGGUGAGGGUGAUUACACAGACAGUGAGGUGUGCAAGGUGAGAGUGAUUACACGGACAGUGAGGUGUGCAAGGUGAGGGUGAUUACACGGACAGUGAGGUGUGCAAGGUGAGAGUGAUUACACAGUGAGGUGUGCAAGGUGAGGGUGAUUACACAGACAGUGAGGUGUGCAAGGUGAGAGUGAUUACACAGACAGUGAGGUGUGCAAGGUGAGAGUGAUUACACGGACAGUGAGGUGUGCAAGGUGAGAGUGAUUACACAGUGAGGUGUGCAAGGUGAGGGUGGUUACACGGACAGUGAGGUGUGCAAGGUGAGGGUGGUUACACGGACAGUGAGGUGUGCAAGGUGAGGGUGAUUACACGGACAGUGAGGUGUGCAAGGUGAGAGUGAUUACACGGACAGUGAGGUGUGCAAGGUGAGAGUGAUUACACGGACAGUGAGGUGUGCAAGGUGAGGGUGGUUACACGGACAGUGAGGUGUGCAAGGUGAGAGUGAUUACACAGUGAGGUGUGCAAGGUGAGGGUGAUUACACAGACAGUGAGGUGUGCAAGGUGAGGGUGAUUACACAGACAGUGAGGUGUGCAAGGUGAGAGUGAUUACACGGACAGUGAGGUGUGCAAGGUGAGAGUGAUUACACAGUGAGGUGUGCAAGGUGAGAGUGAUUACACAGUGAGGUGUGCAAGGUGAGGGUGAUUACACAGACAGUGAGGUGUGCAAGGUGAGGGUGAUUACACAGACAGUGAGGUGUGCAAGGUGAGGGUGGUUACACGGACAGUGAGGUGUGCAAGGUGAGGGUGGUUACACGGACAGUGAGGUGUGCAAGGUGAGGGUGGUUACACGGACAGUGAGGUGUGCAAGGUGAGGGUGAUUACACGGACAGUGAGGUGUGCAAGGUGAGGGUGGUUACACGGACAGUGAGGUGUGCAAGGUGAGAGUGAUUACACGGACAGUGAGGUGUGCAAGGUGAGGGUGGUUACACGGACAGUGAGGUGUGCAAGGUGAGGGUGAUUACACAGACAGUGAGGUGUGCAAGGUGAGAGAGUGGCACAUAGGAGCCUGGAUUGGGCACAAGCUCGACGGCACUCGCUGGGGGAGGUUUGCCCCUGAGAGUCUGUUGUUGAGGAAAUGGGGUCUCAGAAGAUAUUCUGGAUAUAGAGCUGAUUGACAAAGCACAAGAGUGGAAGCCUGUUUACCCUCGCGAGUCUGAACAAGUCCUCAUCUGGAAGACAGCAGUUUGACAACUAAAUACAUCCUUUCCCCAUCACCCUACAAAAUGUUAUCUCCGAGUGGAAUGAGACAUCAAAUUAUACAUAUGUAGAGUUCAUAACGGGGUAAAAAGUGAAAUGACCAGAGGACGUUGUCAGGUGCUAAACAUUAAUUUCAGCACUGCGGUUGAACCUGAAGAUUUGAGAUUACUAAUGUUCUCCUUCUGAAGCACAUUUCAUGGUGUCUUCGUUGACUGUACGAAACUGCUAGUCCUUGGUGUAUCAUCAUAGCAAAUUCAGAGAACUGAUGCAGAACUUACGUUAACUUGAAGCAGGGUGUAAAUACACUUGGUACUGAAAUACAUGUUAGUCUGCCCAUGUUCAUUAAUAUUGUCUGUCUGUAGGCUAAGGAUUACAGGAAAGUAUUAAUAAUAAAGCUGUAUAUACUGAUACUGUUCCUUAUUGCCUUUGGG